rnacentral:rRNA from 1 species
GAAGGACCCGAGCGUUAUCCGGAUUUAUUGGGUUUAAAGGGUGCGUAGGCGGAUUAGUAAGUCAGUGGUGAAAGCCCAUCGCUCAACGGUGGAACUGCCAUUGAUACUGCUAGUCUUGAGUAUGGUUGAGGUGGGCGGAAUGUGUCAUGUAGCGGUGAAAUGCUUAGAUAUGACACAGAACACCAAUUGCGAAGGCAGCUCGCUAAACCAUAACUGACGCUGAGGCACGAAAGCGUGGGGAGCAAACAGGAUUAGAUACCCUGGUAGUCCACGCCCUAAACGAUGAUAACUCGUUGUUGGCGAUACACAGUCAGCGACUAAGCGAAAGCAUUAAGUUAUCCACCUGGGAAGUACGACCGCAAGGUUG